UAAACAUUAAAACCACCGACCUGUCUCCCCA
rnacentral:piRNA from 1 species